rnacentral:lncRNA from 1 species
GUCUGAUUAAUUCUGAGAGAAUUCACUUUUUCUUUAUAAUUUCUGAAGAGUGACCAGCCAGCAGUGUUUGUCCGGUCCUUAACAGGAUACCAGGAACCGGGAAAAAACAAGCACUUAGAAAUCAGAAAUCAUCCUUAGCAUUCCUAAUAAGCCUUAACCUUUCCAGUGAUGCAGAGGGCAAUUAUUGCACUUUUUACCCUCCAUGAAAUGCAGGAAAUACAGGUUUAUUUGCCAGUAUGCACAGAAAUCAAGGCAUAUAACUUCUCUUCCAGUAACAAUUUGCUCUAUUGUCCAAAUGUAGCACAUUCCUACCAGCCUUGGCACUGUCUGGGCCCUUGGUGAGGUCUAUGCCUGAAUUUGGUUUCUGCCUCCAGCACUGGUUUGUCCCGUUCCCUUUGGGCUGUUAUUCGACACACUUCUGUCUCUGCUGCUCAGCUGCCUAUAAAACAAGGAUGAGACAUCCUAGGUUUCCCUGGGAUGCUUUCCAAUGAUUGUAAUAACUGAGUUUUGAUGCUGACAUGUAAAUAGAUGGAAGAAUGCUAAAUAUUACUCAAAUGAAGAAUAAUAUUCAUAUAGGUACACCAAGAGGUUCUGGGCUGAAUGGAACUCCAUUUAAAUAAGCAUGUAUUAUUACUUUUCAUUGCUUUGCUUUCUAUAGUGCAAUAAAAAUGGUUUUGCCUCUCUUGUGACA